UCUGGUUUUCAAUCUUCGACAAUUCUCUGCCAGAUCUAAAAGGUUUAGAGCUUUUGUGUUCCUCAUUUUUUCCGAAUCAAAAAAAGGUUUUGGAUAUUCUCCUUUGUUCAAUCGAUUGUAAAAAAACGAUUUUAAUGGAAGCUAAAAGAAUCAUAUGUGGCCUCCCAGCAAAGAACGUCAUACCGAAACUCAUACAACAAGGUGAGCAAGAUCAAGGAAGUGUUGCGGAUGAUGAUGUGAAGGAGAUAACAAGGCUAGAGUACAGACGAUCUCUCGCUCACCUAGGCUACUUAAUACGCAUCGAGGUAGACGAAGAAGACAUUGAUCCACUGUACAAGAGAUGUAUCUGAAACAUCCAAAACAAACGCCCAAAAGUAGAAGGGUCCUCUCAAUCUCGCAACGCUCC